AGGGGCACUGUGUGGUGUUUGGGGGUGCACGCAUCUGUGCCAAAGCACAGGGGCUCGCAAUGAAUUUGAAAAACUUGCACAAAACUCCUGUUGAUGAAAAAUACUGUUUGCUUUCCCCUGCAGAAGCACAAGCCUGGAUCAAAGCCACUGGCCACCUGGCCCUGCGGGGGUGAUCCUGCCCGAGGGUCACACUGCUGUGCUGGUAAGGAGGCAUGGGGCGUUCUCGUUCAGCCAUCGCUGUUCUCAGAGCCAGUGUGCAGCAGUGCCGAGGUGGGGGUAGUGCAAAGGGAGAGGCUGUCACGUGUGUGGGUGAUUUGACAAGGUCAAGCCUGAGGACAGCCCUGUCCUCUCAGCUUUGCAGAAACCCAUGGAAGCUGGUACCCAAGGAGAGCGUACCGCGCUGGCAUCAUGUCAUGUGUGUGAAGGAUGAGCCACUCGUGGAGUCAUGGAGCUGCAGCUCGGCAGGAGCCCAAGGCAGAUAUGGUGAGCGAUAGCUGAAGGCACUUCCCAGGCACUGCGGUACAGAUGAUAUUAGUUCGGACCAUGAAGGGCAAUGAGGAGAUAGCUCAACAUUUGGAGAAAAUGGAAAGAGGAACAACCUAUGAAACCAGCUUUCUGGCUGCACCAGUGAUGUCCUCACAUGACUUGUCGCCACUUGGAAAGCCACUUGCCAGCCCCGGUAUGGGGUGCUGAUCUUGCAGGCAGGAGAUGCAGGAUCAGAGGGCAUAACCAGGAGGGAGGGCUGGCGCGGAGGCGAGGGGGCUGCAGGCUGCGAGCGUGGCAGGGUGUAACAACAGCAUCUUCACCUGCAGUGCUGCUCAUCAGCAGCAAUCAGCUCCCGGGCCAAGCUUUUCUAAAUGGCUGGUGAUCUGGUACCAUGCCUGAGGACCAAAGAGAAAUGCUUCUCCUCCCAGAAAUCCCAGUAACCUCCUUGUUGUAUCAAUUGUAAUUCAGUAUAGCCCCAUUUCUGCCCCGAAGUCAGUAAUUGCUUUGGAAAAUGUCCUUUACCUUUUUUAAGUGCCAGCAUGCCUUUUGUUGCUACUAAAGUAACAGCUAAAAGCUGACAGAUGACAGAAAAUGAGAAAUUUCUGAGAAAAGUGCUCAGAAUUUUCCUCUGAGUCAUCUCUACGUUGGCAGGAAAAGCCUGACAAAGAAGAAAAGUAUCUCUGCAGGUUGUACUGCCUGAAACAGCCCCAAAAUUAGGAGUCUAGGCCAGGUGAAUGCAUCCAGCCCAUAAGACAUAUUUCAGUGUAAUGUGACGGAGCUGAAAUCAAAAGUUGUUGUGAUGGUUAUGUGGCCGGUAUGACAGGACCCCCUUGAAAGAGCUGCAUGCGAGAGCAGCCCCCAGUGCUCCGGCAGCCACGCGAGCCCCGAGGAGCCGGUCCCUACCCUGCAGCUUACAUGCUGAACAACAUAAGGCACAAUAAAAGAUUAGCAAAACUGC